rnacentral:lncRNA from 1 species
AUGCGGGCGAAGAGGGGCGACGGCGGGUGGAGUGCCGACGCGUCCGAACUCCGAAACCGGCGGGGCGACGGCACAUGCUGGCGGAGAUCGGCGCGGGGCCGAUCGACGGCGGCCUGGGGGCCCCGACUUGCUGAUGCUGUUGAAGACGAACAGGAGGGCGUGUACAACUUGCUUCUUCUUGUGGUGAUGGACGACGACGGCGGGAGCUUGCUACUUGUUGCUGCUAGCUUGCUUCUUGUCUGUGGAUUUAACAGCUUGGCGUUGGAUCUUGCGGCUUGCCUGUGGAUCUGGAUAUGCUCGUUGCUUGCUGAUGAAGAUGCGCUUGUUGCUGACGGGAGAGCUGAUGGGAUGACGAGACCGACGGACGGUGGCUCGCCGGCGACAGAUGCUUGCUGCUUGAUACCGGCGAUCCCCACAGCGGAGGUGCGUGUCCUCCUCCUCCUCGAACCCAUCGCUAUCAUUGUCGUCGUCUUCAGCGGCGUCGGCAUCGGCAUCGGCAUCGGCAUCGUCGUCGUCUUCAGCAGCGGCGUCGGCAUGCGUCGUCUUCGGCGGCGUCGGGCGCCGCGUUCGGGGUGUGUAUGGGGGGAGUGCGGCAUGCGCGUGUUUGCUACAUCAGCGGCGGAGGUGGGGGUGGAGGGGUGAGGUGCGGGAU